CGGAGGCAGCAGUGAGGAAUAGUAGGCAAUGGGCGAAAGCCUGACCUCGCGACGCCGCGUGAAGGAUGAAGGCCUUCGGGUCGUAAACUUCUUUUCUCGGGGAUGAAUAAUGACAGUACCCGGGGAAUAAGUCACGGCUAACUACGUGCCAGCAGCCGCGGUAAUACGUAGGUGGCUAGCGUUAUCCGGAUUUACUGGGCGUAAAGCGUGCGCAGGCGGCCUUUCAAGUCAGGUGUAAAAUCUCCCGGCUCAACUGGGAGAGACCAUCUGAUACUGUUUGGCUAGAGUACAGCAGAGGGAAGUGGAAUUCCCGGUGUAGUGGUGGAAUGCGUAGAUAUCGGGAGGAACACCAGUGGCGAAAGCGGCUUUCUGGGCUGUUACUGACGCUGUAGCACGAAAGCGUGGGGAGCAAACAGGAUUAGAUACCCUGGUAGC
rnacentral:rRNA from 1 species